rnacentral:rRNA from 1 species
CCUACGGGAGGCAGCAGUGAGGCAUAUUGGUCAAUGGCCGGGAGGCUGAACCAGCCAAGUCGCGUGAGGGAAGAUGGCCCUACGGGUUGUAAACCUCUUUUGUCAGGGAGCCAGGUGCAGGUCGGGACCUGCUGUGAGAGUACCUGAAGAAAAAGCAUCGGCUAACUCCGUGCAAGCAGCCGCGGUAAUACGGAGGAUGCGCGCGUUAUCCGGAUUUCUUGGGUUUAAAGGGUGCGCAGGCGGAGGCACAAGUCAGAGGUAAAAUCGCGGGGCUCAACCCCGCGCCGCCGUUGAACCUGUGUCCAGUGAGUGCGCGAAGGGUAGGCGGAAUGCGUGGUGUAGCGGUGAAAUGCAUAGAUAUCACGCAGAACUCCGAUCGCGAAGGCAGCCGACCGGCGCGCAACUGACGCUCAUGCACGAAAGCGUGGGUAUCGAACAGGAUUAGAUACCCCUGUAGUC